UGCCUGGUAGGUAAAUCCGCCGGGCUUAGAUGAGGGGUGAUAACGAGUCUGCUUGCAGACGAAGUGAGCGAUACCAUGCUUCCAGGAAAAGCCACUAAGCUUCAGCUACACACGACCGUACCGCAAACCGACACUGGUGCGCGAGAUGAGUAUUCUAAGGCGCUUGAGAGAACUCAGGAGAAGGAACUCGGCAAAUUGACACCGUAACUUCGGAAGAAGGUGUGCCUUUAGUAUGUGAACCUGUACAAGGGGAGCAGAAUGAGGCCUCAGAGAAUCGGUGGCUGCGACUGUUUAAUAAAAACACAGCACUCUGCAAACACGAAAGUGGACGUAUAGGGUGUGACGCCUGCCCGGUGCUGGAAGAUUAAAUGAUGGGGUGCAAGCUCUUGAUUGAAGUCCCAGUAAACGGCGGCCGUAACUAUAACGGUCCUAAGGUAGCGAAAUUCCUUGUCGGGUAAGUUCCGACCUGCACGAAUGGCGUAACGAUGGCCACACUGUCUCCUCCUGAGACUCAGCGAAGUUGAAAUGUUUGUGAUGAUGCAAUCUCCCCGCGGAAAGACGGAAAGACCCCAUGAACCUUUACUGUAGCUUUGUAUUGGACUUUGAACAGAUCUGUGUAGGAUAGGUGGGAGGCUUUGAAGCAGGGUCGCUAGAUCUUGUGGAGCCAACGUUGAAAUACCACCCUGGUGUGUUUGAGGUUCUAACCUAGGUCCAUUAUCUGGAUCGGGGACUGUGCAUGGUAGGCAGUUUGACUGGUCGGUCUCCUCCCAAAGCGUAACGGAGGAGUUCGAAGGUACGCUAGGUACGGUCGGACAUCGUGCUAAUAGUGCAAUGGCAUAAGCGUGCUUAACUGCGAGACUGACAAGUCGAGCAGAUACGAAAGUAGGACAUAGUGAUCCGGUGGUUCUGUAUGGAAGGGCCAUCGCUCAACGGAUAAAAGGUACUCUGGGGAUAACAGGCUGAUACCGCCCAAGAGUUCAUAUCGACGGCGGUGUUUGGCACCUCGAUGUCGGCUCAUCUCAUCCUGGGGCUGUAGCCGGUCCCAAGGGUAUGGCUGUUCGCCAUUUAAAGAGGUACGUGAGCUGGGUUUAAAACGUCGUGAGACAGUUUGGUCCCUAUCUUCCGUGGGCGCUGCAGAUUUGAGGAAGCCUGCUCCUAGUACGAGAGGACCGGAGUGGACACACCUCUGGUGUAUCGGUUGUCACGCCAGUGGCAUUGCCGAGUAGCUAUGUGUGGAAGAGAUAACCGCUGAAAGCAUCUAAGCGGGAAACUCGUUUCAAGAUGAGAUCUGCCGGGGCCUCGAGCCCCCUAAAGAGUCGUUCAAGACCAGGACGUUGAUAGGUCAGGUGUGGAAGCGCAGUAAUGCGUUAAGCUAACUGAUACUAAUUGCUCGUGCGGCUUGACCU
rnacentral:rRNA from 1 species